AUUGAACGCUGGCGGCAUGCCUUACACAUGCAAGUCGAACGGCAGCACGGGAGCAAUCCUGGUGGCGAGUGGCGAACGGGUGAGUAAUAUAUCGGAACGUGCCCAGUCGUGGGGGAUAACGUAGCGAAAGCUACGCUAAUACCGCAUACGAUCUAUGGAUGAAANCGGGGGAUCGCAAGACCUCGCGCGAUUGGAGCGGCCGAUAUCAGAUUAGGUAGUUGGUGAGGUAAAGGCUCACCAAGCCGACGAUCUGUAGCUGGUCUGAGAGGACGACCAGCCACACUGGAACUGAGACACGGUCCAGACUCCUACGGGAGGCAGCAGUGGGGAAUAUUGGACAAUGGGCGAAAGCCUGAUCCAGCCAUGCCGCGUGUGUGAAGAAGGUCUUCGGAUUGUAAAGCACUUUAAGUUGGGAGGAAGGGUAGUAACCUAAUACGUUGCUACUUUGACGUUACCGACAGAAUAAGCACCGGCUAACUUCGUG
rnacentral:rRNA from 1 species